ACUCAAUAUUUUCUAGAAGUUCCAAUAGGAUUGAUACCAGCUUUUCUUUAUACAUCUGAUAAAAUUCAGCUGUAAAUCCCUCUGGUCCAGGGCUUUUACUGGUUGAAUCCUUAGAUUCCCUGGAUUCAGUUUCAACUUUCUCCUAAAUCUGGACGACCUUAUGUGCCAUGCAGAUUCUGUAUUCUAUGCCAUCAUUUCAGUGAUUUCAAUCAAGAACCCUUGCUGUCGAGCUCAUGUGGUCAUUUGGAGAAUCCUCAGCUGCAUUUUGCAUUAUUUCCAGAGUUCUUGGUUGUAAUCAGUGGAGAGACAGGCUGUGGAAGACUUACCCCAUUUCGAUCAACACCAGGUGAAAAGGGCUGAGUUCAGAGCACUUCUCGACAGAUGAACAUAUGGAGAUUGACAGGCAGGGAACAAAAACUCAUCCAUGUACCAAUAGUGGAGGACUCCACCUCCACAGGGACAAAAUCUCCCGUGCUCAGGACCCUUCCAAGUCUUGCCCUAUGUAUCUCUUUAUCUGUUUGUAUCCUUUGAAAUAAACCAGUAAACC